GACGAACGCUGGCGGCGUGCUUAACACAUGCAAGUCGAGCGAUGAACCCGGAGCUUGCUCCGGUGGAUUAGUGGCGAACGGGUGAGUAACACGUGAGUAACCUGCCCUUGACUCUGGGAUAACUGCGGGAAACUGUAGCUAAUACCGGAUACGACCCUCGGCGGCAUCGCCAGGGGGUGGAAAGAAUUUCGGUCAAGGAUGGACCCGCGGCCUAUCAGCUAGUUGGUGAGGUAACGGCUCACCAAGGCGACGACGGGUAGCCGGCCUGAGAUGGUGACCGGCCACACGGGGACUGAGACAAGGCCCGGACUCCUACGGGAGGCAGCAGUGGGGAAUAUUGCACAAUGGGCGCAAGCCUGAGGCAGCAACGCCGCGUGAGGGAUGACGGCCUUCAGGUUGUAAACCUCUUUUAGUAAGGAAGAAGCAAAAGUGACGGUACCUGCAGAAAAAGCACCGGCUAACUACGUGCCAGCCGCCGCAGUAA
rnacentral:rRNA from 1 species